AUUCUUUCGCAGAGGCGAUAUCAUCGCCUAUGAGGCCCAGCCGAGGCGUGAUUAUUGCUGGUUGAAAACUUAACCCAAUACCCCGCCAUGGGUGACUUGAAAUAUAGUCAGCCAUGGCAAUUUUUGAUAGUCUCAUAUGAGA
ensembl:snRNA U4 U4 spliceosomal RNA